UAUGAAAGUGGCGAACGGGUGAGGAACACGUAAGAAUCUGCCCCAGACUCUGGGAUAACAAUUGGAAACGAUUGCUAAUACCGGAUGACGUCGGAGAACCGCAUGGUUCACUGACGAAAGAUAUUUCGGUUUGGGAGGGUCUCGCGGCCUAUCAGCUAGUUGGCGGGGUAAUGGCCCACCAAGGCAACGACGGGUAGCUGGUCUGAGAGGAUGGUCAGCCACACUGGGACUGAGACACGGCCCAGACUCC
rnacentral:rRNA from 1 species